AGCCAGCCUGGUGCUUACCAAAGGCUGUGUUCUUGCACUGACUGUAUAGAAAGAGGAGGCAGAGUAAACCUACCCUACAUACACCCCAGCCCAGGCCCCAUACCUGGUCUGUAUUGUGAAUGGGGGAACAUGG